UGGGGAAUAUUGGACAAUGGGCGAAAGCCUGAUCCAGCCAUGCCGCGUGUGUGAAGAAGGUCUUCGGAUUGUAAAGCACUUUAAGUUGGGAGGAAGGGCAGUAAGCGAAUACCUUGCUGUUUUGACGUUACCGACAGAAUAAGCACCGGCUAACUCUGUGCCAGGAGCCGCGGUAAUACAGAGGGUGCAAGCGUUAAUCGGAAUUACUGGGCGUAAAGCGCGCGUAGGUGGUUCGUUAAGUUGAAUGUGAAAGCCCCGGGCUCAACCUGGGAACUGCGUCCAAAACUGGCGAGCUAGAGUAGGGCAGAGGGUGGUGGAAUUUCCUGUGUAGCGGUGAAAUGCGUAGAUAUAGGAAGGAACACCAGUGGCGAAGGCGACCACCUGGGCUCAUACUGACACUGAGGUGCGAAAGCGUGGGGAGCAAACAGG
rnacentral:rRNA from 1 species